UAUUGUUAUCGCGUGUUACUUAUUCGACGACAAAUAUUCUCCAACAGCUAUGACAUUAUGCCUGUAAUUCAAUAAGGAAUAUUCGCCGUACCGUACGUGUAGGUGUAUAUACGAUUAUUCCUCGGAGCGUGUACGAUAAUCCUGAAGAAAUUUAACACGUAUCUUCAAAUUGUUACGUUACUUGCGGAAAUUGAAGUAUGCCACUGAUUCGUACACCACGGGUGAAGACAACUUUUGGUUUUUGAAAGUAAUGGGAAAAAUUUGCAGAUUUCUUCUACAAUACACCGUAAAGAGGGGACUUUAGCUGGGAAAUGAAUCAUUGAGCCACGCGGUGCACAUUUUUUCUUUUUCCUGACUCGCCGUUUCACGUUUUCGGCAGGUGAUUUCAUCCGCGGGAAACUGGCUUAAGAAUUCAAGUCGAACCGUGUAAGUCACGUGGGUGCCUCACUAUGGCUGAGCUGAUUGUUAAUGCCGAUGCACAUCCUGUAGACGAAUGUACAGGGUGUUCAAAAAGCGUCUUUGCAGCGGCGUCGGUUCGUUAUUCUCGCCGAGUGAAUGAGUCUCUCUGUAAAUUCUUGUAUCCAGCUGUGCAAGCGAAUUCCGUUAGUGGCGUAGUGGAUUCACGAUCUCCAUUCCUCGGACUCUGUACAACGGAUGAUUAUUAUAGGGGAAAAAUGAAGAAGCGUCCGCGUCUUGUUGCUCGUCAAAAUAAACUUUGCUUGUGGCGGGUCGAAGAAACAUAACAUAGGAGAGCGUUCGACCCUGAGAAUGAUCGUCGAACAUCUGGCGCUUUCUGGGCUUUGAAAAAGGAACCGGAAGAGGAUGGCGAUCAGGAAUGCCGAUGCUUUUGGGGCGAGGGUGCAGAUGAGCCUGAUGGCCUGGUGGAUGAGCAGCCUUCACGAAGAAUUAGCCACGUGCCAAGGUUGGUUUAGGGUGCAGAUGUUUCAGGCUCGCAAUGCGGUUUACAGAAAUCGUUUACUGCAGGGGCGUGCAUCGGGUUCGGUUAUAUUGGCAAGCUGCAUCGAUAUGCAUAACGCGUUAUACAAAUAAAUAGUCGCUGCUCUGCAAGCGAGGUAAAAUCGUAUGUGACGCGAGGAUGAUGAUUAUAAUAGUCGAUUUGGACGCCGGCUAAUUUAUCAUAUAUACUAUGAAUUGCAUAGAUUAUAGAUAUAGGUAGAUAAUUAAAUUAUUUUUUAAUUAUUAUUAGUAUUUACGUAACGAUCAACUGCAUUCGGAAUGUGUAAGAAAAGAACCGAACGUCGCGUCGAUGAGAAUGUACUUCGUAUGUUAAUAACCGUUGCGGCAGUAUCGUCGUUACUUAACAAUGCAAAUAUUUCGCUGUAAAUAAUAAUUUAACUUAAC